CGAAAGCCUGACGGAGCAAGACCGCGUGAGGGAGGAAGGCUCUUGGGUUGUAAACCUCUUUUCUCAGGGAAGAAGCUCUGACGGUACCUGAGGAAUCAGCCUCGGCUAACUCCGUGCCAGCAGCCGCGGUAAGACGGAGGAUGCAAGCGUUAUCCGGAAUUAUUGGGCGUAAAGCGUCCGUAGGUGGCUUUUCAAGUCGGCGGUCAAAGACCGGGGCUUAACUCCGGAAAGGCCGUGGAAACUGAAUGGCUAGAGUGCCGUAGGGGUAGAGGGAAUUCCCGGUGUAGCGGUGAAAUGCGUAGAGAUCGGGAAGAACAUCGGUGGCGAAAGCGCUCUACUGGACGGCAACUGACACUCAGGGACGAAAGCUAGGGGAGCG
rnacentral:rRNA from 1 species